rnacentral:misc_RNA from 1 species
GGCAGCUUUUGUGUCAGGCUGUUUACUGUUAUCACCAGUGUCGAUAAGAGGCCGAUCUCCAUCGACAAGUGUUGUAGCAGAUUCAGACUUUGGUUUCUGAACAACAGGAUUUCCAGAAGAAAUAGAUUCAUGCCUAGCAAGUAGCCUCUGAAGAUCAUCAUUAAGUGCAAGUCCUUGGCAAAGUAGUGACUCAUCCGCAGUUGAGUUAACAAGGUGAACCACCCUCUGUUUGUAAGUACGGCACUGGUCAACCAAGUCAACAAUAACUUCCUGUCUGAUAGCCUCUUUAUUCCCUGGUUC